rnacentral:rRNA from 1 species
GCUUGUCUCAAAGAUUAAGCCAUGCAUGUCUAAGUAUAAACGACUUUAUACUGUGAAACUGCGAAUGGCUCAUUAUAUCAGUUAUAGUUUAUUUGAUGGUCCUUGCUACUUGGAUAACCGUAGUAAUUCUAGAGCUAAUACAUGCAUUAAACCCCGACUUCUGGAAGGGGUGUAUUUAUUAGAUGGAAACCAAUGCGGGGUAACCCGGAAUAUGGUGAUUCAUAAUAACUUUCGGAUCGAUUUAUCGAUGCAUCAUUCAAGUUUCUGCCCUAUCAGCUUUCGACGGUAGUGUAGUGGACUACCGUGGCGUUAACGGGUAACGGAGAAUUAGGGUUCGAUUCCGGAGAGGGAGCCUGAGAAAUGGCUACCACAUCCAAGGAAGGCAGCAGG